UUGAGCUGGGCGGGAAAAAAGCGACCGCGGAAGCGUCGACUCGGCAACAUCGCGCACCGAAGUCAAGGUCACGCCGCCAAGUUCUCAAAACCUAAAAGCGCGAGCAAGGCAGUCAGAGUCGGGAAGCUCGCGCAAAUCCUUCUCGGAAAUCGUCCCCCUCGAAAUCCCCCCCAAAACCCCCCGAAUCCGCGGUUUACGGUCCGGAGUGCGCGUGGUGAACUUGGAUCGGACGGAACGGCGGCGCGCGGAUCCGGGAAUUGGGUCGCCAUAUUGGGCCCGAUGGAGAUGAGCACUUGUUAAUGUAGGUUAGUGUUCGCGGCUUCGGAUGUUUGGAGUGCGGUUUUUUCGGCCACUGGUUCAAGUUCAACUACUCGUGUCGGGCCGAAAUGGCGCAGUUCCGACGCCAGGCUCCGCGGGAUUCUCGCGGAUUCCCUCGGGAAAAUUGUGCAAAUUUGUGGUGGAAGUGCGAGCUGGGAUUAGUUGAUUUUAGUUAUAUUUUCUGUAUGUUGGAGUUUAUGGCCAACGUGCGUUAAAAAUGCAGCAUAUAGCUGAAAAUCUCGAUACAGAGGAAAAAAAGCUCAUACGAGCACAAUUGGAUCAGUGAGAACGAAAACACGCCAACUCCUGAAAUGCGUGCUGGAAAUAGUUCAGAUAGGAUUCAUUCAUUUUAAAUAAGUAUUUAAAGCGAACUCGCGACUUUCCUCAAAAUAUGUAAAAUUUUGUACAACAUUAUCCCUGCUAACAUCUAAACUUGAAAUUUUAUGGAGAUUAUGGUGAAAGUACGUGCUAGAAAUAGUUCAUUCAGUUGAGUUUUUGCAUUUCCCGGCGUAAGUAGGCAAUUUAUUCUAAACUGGAAGCAUUGCAAGUGAACUUGCGACUUUCCUUACAAUAUCUCAAAUUCCUUCAAAAAUCAUCCCAUGCUAACAUUCAAUCUUAAAAUUUUAUGGAGAUAAUGGUGAAAAUGUGCGCUGGAAAAAGUUGGAUUCGCUGGAUUCAGUUGAGUUUUUACAUACUCCGGCGUAAGUAGGCAAUUUACUCUAAAUUGGAGGCAUUUAAAGCGAAAUUGCGCCCUUCCUUACCAUUUUGUACAAAAAUUAUCCCUGAUAACAUAGUGUGAUCAUACUGGCUAACAUCCGUGAUUAACAUAAAUUUAAUAAUAUUUUAGCGGUUAAAAUGCUCCUUGUUGGAGAGUGUUACGUGAAAUUUCUUUCGAUCUCGGGAAAUGUGUUGUGAAGUGAUUCUAUGUGAAGAAUUUGUGAUUUAGUUGCAGAUUUUCUACAGAUCAUUUGCUAGUAUUUAAAGGGGGGACGAGCGAUGAAUCGCGAUUCAUCAUUCAAGUUUGUCUUGGUUAAUUAUCAAAUAGUGAGAAUGUCGACAAAGUUGCGCCUUCAAGUAGAGCGAUACCGCCCGCCUUGACUGCCAUCCUACAAUGAUCGCAACGAGCGAAUUUAAUCACAACGACUGUAUUUCUGAAGAAACGGAUUCUUUGAGACGGAAA